rnacentral:rRNA from 1 species
AUUGAACGCUGGCGGCAGGCCUAACACAUGCAAGUCGGACGGUAGCACAGGGGAGCUUGCUCCUCGGGUGACGAGUCGCGGACGGGUGAGUAAUGUCUGGGGAUCUGCCCGCUAGAGGGGGAUAACCACUGGAAACGGUGGCUAAUACCGCAUAAUGUCGCAAGACCAAAGAGGGGGACCUUCGGGCCUCUCACUAUCGGAUGAACCCAGAUGGGAUUAGCUAGUAGGCGGGGUAACGGCCUCCCUAGGCGACGAUCCCUAGCUGGUCUGAGAGGAGAACCGGCCACACUGGAACUGAUGCACGGGCCAGACUCCUACGGGAGUGAGCAGGGGGGAGUAGUGCACAAUGGGCGCAAGCCUGAGGCAGCCAUGCCGCGGGUAUGAAGAAGGCCUGCGGGUUGUAAGGUACUUUCAGCGGGGAGGAAAGCGAUGUGGUUGAUAACCGCGUCGAUUGACGUUACCCGCAGAAGAAGCGCCGGCUAACUCCGUGCCAGCCGCCGCGGUAA